CCUACGGGUGGCUGCAGUGAGGAAUAUUUGUCAAUGGGCGCGAGCCUGAACCAGCCAAGUAGCGUGAAGGAUGACUGCCCUACGGGUUGUAAACUUCUUUUAUAAAGGAAUAAAGUGAGGCACGUGUGCCUUUUUGUAUGUACUUUAUGAAUAAGGAUCGGCUAACUCCGUGCCAGCAGCCGCGGUAAUACGGAGGAUCCGAGCGUUAUCCGGAUUUAUUGGGUUUAAAGGGAGCGUAGAUGGGUUGUUAAGUCAGCGGUGAAAGUCUGUGGCUCAACCAUAGAAUUGCCGUUGAAACUGGGAGGCUUGAGUAUGUGUGAGGCAGGCGGAAUGCGUGGUGUAGCGGUGAAAUGCUUAGAUAUCGCGCAGAACCCCGAUUGCGAAGGCAGCCUGCCAGGCCAUGACUGACGCUGAUGCACGAAGGCGUGGGGAUCGAACAGGAUUAGAUACCCCAGUAGUC
rnacentral:rRNA from 1 species